rnacentral:misc_RNA from 1 species
AAAACACGCUUCCACCCCACAACUCUGGGGCGGGACGCGGCAUGUGGCUCCCCGUCUCGCAAGGGGCGGUGGGCCGAAGUUCCGGCUGCCGGCUUAACUUGCCGGACACAGCGCGUGGUAGGCGAUCUCGCUAUACUAAACGCAGUGCAUCCGACACUUGGCCGACAUGAUUGCCUCAAUAGACCCUAGUAACGGAGCGUAGGACGCUUUGA